CUGCGGAAGGUCAUUAUCGUGGGGCUUCGGCCCUCUCGAGAUAGAAACCCUUGCCUUUUCGAGUACCCUUCGUUUCCUCGGCAGGCUCGCCUGCCAAUGGGGACCCAAUCAAACCCUUUGUAUAAGCAGUAUACGUCUGAAAAUAAUACAAAAUAUUAAAACUUUCAACAACGGAUCUCUUGGUUCUGGCAUCGAUGAAGAACGCAGCGAAAUGCGAUAAGUAGUGUGAAUUGCAGAAUUCAGUGAAUCAUCGAAUCUUUGAACGCACAUUGCGCCCUUUGGUAUUCCUUUGGGCACGCCUGUUCGAGCGUCAUUUACCCCCUCAAGCUCAGCUUGGUGAUGGGCGUCUGUCCCGCCUCCCGCGCGUGGACUCGCCUUAAAAGCAUUGGCGGCCGCUACAUUGGCUUCGAGCGCAGCAAAACGCGCCUUCGUUGUCGUGGAUCGGCUCCCAGAAGCCCCUUUUUAUUAGUUUUGACCUCGGAUCAGGUGAGAAUACCCGCUGAACUUAAGCAUAUCAAUAAGCGGAGGAAAAGAAACCAACAGGGAUUGCCUCAGUAACGGCGAGUGAAGCGGCAUCAGCUCAAAUUUGAAAUCUGGCUCUUUUAGGGUCCGAGUUGUAAUUUGUAGAGGGAGCUUUGGCGUUGGCUGUGGUCUAAGUUCCUUGGAACAGGACGUCACAGAGGGUGAGAAUCCCGUACGUGGCCGCCAGUCUUCGCCGUGUAAAGCCCCUUCGACGAGUCGAGUUGUUUGGGAAUGCAGCU
rnacentral:rRNA from 1 species